rnacentral:rRNA from 1 species
CCACGGGGGGCAGCAGGCGCGAAAACUUUACAAUGCUGGCAACAGCGAUAAGGGAACCUCGAGUGCCAGGUUACAAAUCUGGCUGUCGAGAUGCCUAAAAAGCAUUUCAUAGCAAGGGCCGGGCAAGACCGGUGCCAGCCGCCGCGGUAACACCGGCGGCUCGAGUGGUAACCGUUAUUAUUGGGUCUAAAGGGUCUGUAGCCGGCCGGAGAAGUCUCUUGAGAAAUCUGGCAGCUUAACUGUCAGGCUUUCAGGAGAGACUGUCUGGCUCGAGGCCGGGAGAGGUGAGAGGUACUUCAGGGGUAGGGGUGAAAUCUUGUAAUCCUUGAAGGACCACCAGUGGCGAAGGCGUCUCACCAGAACGGACCUGACGGCAAGGGACGAAAGCUAGGGGCACGAACC